rnacentral:rRNA from 1 species
UGGGGAAUAUUGCACAAUGGGCGCAAGCCUGAUGCAGCGACGCCGCGUGGGGGAUGACGGCCUUCGGGUUGUAAACUCCUUUCGCUAGGGACGAAGCUCUUUGUGACGGUACCUAGAUAAGAAGCACCGGCUAACUACGUGCCAGCAGCCGCGGUAAUACGUAGGGUUCGAGCGUUGUCCGGAAUUACUGGGCGUAAAGGGCUCGUAGGUGGUUUGUCGCGUCGUCUGUGAAAUUCCGGGGCUUAACUCCGGGCGUGCAGGCGAUACGGGCAUAACUUGAGUACUGUAGGGGUAACUGGAAUUCCUGGUGUAGCGGUGAAAUGCGCAGAUAUCAGGAGGAACACCGAUGGCGAAGGCAGGUUACUGGGCAGUUACUGACGCUGAGGAGCGAAAGCAUGGGUAGCGAACAGG